AUGAAAAAAGUCAGCAGUAGGAGAGAGCUGGAGGAUAUGGGUUUCUCCGAGGUGGUACAAUGGUGGGACGAGUGGCAGCUCCGUGUGCUCGUCCUGUGCAGCCUCUUCCUCCAGUACUUCCUCUUCGUCGCAGCCGGCAUGCGCAAGCGUUGCAUCCCCUCCUGGUUCAGGUUCUUCAUCUGGCUCGCCUACCUGGGCAGCGAUGCGUUGGCCAUUUACGCCCUCGCCACCCUCUUCAACAGCCACAGGAAGCAGGAGUGGACGUCCACACGCCGCGGCAGCUCCAGCCUGGAGGCGCUAUGGGCGCCGGUGCUGCUGGUGCACCUCGGUGGUCAGGACGGCAUCACUGCCUACAACAUAGAGGACAACGAGCUGUGGAGGCGGCACGUCCUCACCGCAGUGUCCCAGGUCGCCGUAGCCAUCUACGUCUUUUGCAAGUCAUGGCCAGGGGACAAGAAGCUGCUGCAAACUGCAAUUAUCUUCUUCAUCUGUGGCAUAAUCAGGUGUUUGGAUAAGCCAUGGGCUCUCAAGAACGCCAGCAUCAACAGCAUCGUCAGCAGCUCCAGCACAGACGAAGAUCAUGGCGGCACCAUUUCGCUCGACGAAUACAUAGACCAAGCAACCAAGUGUGUUUUACACGCAAAACAGAGGAAGAAAACAAGUACAUCUGGCGACAACAAAGCGAUCAAGGAGCCCUACCAUCUAUUCGAAGACCUGGCAUACCCGUACACUGUCCGGCUGGAGAACCUCAAGUACAUGGUGGAGAACAAGCAAGACGAAGCGCAUGGGCUGGUUCAGUCAGGUCUCUCCAAAACGUUCGACCGGCUCUACACCAAGAAACAAGUGUACAAUGUGCGAAAGAUGGCGAGCAAUGUCUUCCGUAAUCACGUCCACUACAGUCUCGAUUAUCUUGGCGGGUACCUACGGUCAGUGACCGUGGUACUAACGUUUGCAGCCAUUGGGGUCUUCCACAAGAGCGACAGAGAAGCCCAGAACAGCACCGAUAUCUGGGUCACCUACACCAUGUUGUGCUGCACUGCUGCACUGCAGCUCCUCAUGACCAACGGGCUAGUGAUACUGUUUCUCCAUUGGUGUGUGCGUCGUUUGGGGUUGCAACCGUGGCCUGAACAGGUCGCCCAGUACAGCCUUGUUGGGUAUUUGGCCCGCAACAGGAGGCAUCCUAGGCUGAGGAAGCUUGCCACCAUGCUGGUUUGCAAGGACUACCUCGACAAGCUAUGGUGCAUGGAGUCGUGCAAGUCGUCGUCGUCCCGCGCCAUCACCAAGCUCGUCCACGCCCAUGUCAAACAAGGGUGGAGACGGUGCAUCAAGGACACCGCCACUUACAGGGCCUUCAACGACAAGCGGGGCCAGGGCACUCUCCUCCGCGAGAAAUGCACGGAACUGGAGUGGAGCCUGAGGAGGCCGUUCGACGAGAGCGUCCUUCUGUGGCACCUCGCCACGGACCUGUGCUUCUAUCAAAGGGACGUUGCUGGCCAGGGGGAGGACACGUCUCCUCAGCGCCGCUGCAGCAGGGAGAUCUCCAACUACAUGGUGUACCUUAUGUUCGUGAACCCGGAGAUGCUCAUGACCGGCACGAGGCGCAGUCUGUUCCGCACAACCUGCCAUGGAGUCAAGCACAUGCUCGAUGACGGCGACGACAAGACCCCGCUGGAAGACAGAGAGAUGAUGAAGAAGAUAAUCCAGCAGCUGGAGAAAGGCACACAAUGUCCAGGUAUCAUUCUUGAAGCUUGGGAACUAUCCAAGUCCCUCGUGGGUCUGCGUGACAAGAAGAUGUGGAGGGUGAUGCAGGGGGUGUGGGUGGAGAUGCUCUGCUUCUCCGCCGGCAGAUGCAGAGGGUACUUGCACGCCAAGAACCUAGGAAAGGGCGGUGAGUAUCUCUCCUAUGUCUGGCUGCUCCUGUCGCACAUGGGGAUGGAGACCCUUGCGGAGAGGGUGCAGAGAACCGAGCUGCCGGAAGAAGGAGACACCGGUGCCGCCGCGCCGGUACGAACAUCUAUGGUGAUGCCUAUCGGGGACGAUAGUGUGUGA
rnacentral:rRNA from 1 species